CCUACGGGUGGCAGCAGUAGGGAAUCUUCCACAAUGGGCGAAAGCCUGAUGGAGCAACGCCGCGUGGGGGAGGAAGGUACAGAGUAUCGUAAACCUCUUUUGUCAGGGAACAAAGGCGGGGACGUGUCCCCGGAUGAGUGUACCUGAAGAAAAAGCAUCGGCUAACUCCGUGCCAGCAGCCGCGGUAAUACGGAGGAUGCGAGCGUUCUCCGGAUUUAUUGGGUUUAAAGGGUGCGCAGGCGGUCUGUUAAGUCAGCGGGCAAAGCCCGGGGCUAAACCCCGGCCCGCCGUUGAAACUGGCAGUCUCGAGUUGGAGAGAGGUAUGCGGAAUGCGCGGUGUAGCGGUGAAAUGCAUAGAUAUCGCGCAGAACUCCGAUUGCGAAGGCAGCAUGCCGGCUCCACACUGACGCUGAGGCACGAAAGCGUGGGUAUCGAACAGGAUUAGAUACCCCAGUAGUC
rnacentral:rRNA from 1 species